ACGGAAGGGCACCACCAGGAGUGGAAUCUGCGGCUUAAUUUGACUCAACGCGGGAAAACUCACCAGGUCAGGACACGGUAAGGAUUGACGGACUGAAGGCUCUUUCUCGAUUCCGUGGAAAGUGGUGCAUGGCCGUUUUUGGUUGGUGGAUCGAUCCGUCUGGUUAAUUCCGUUAACGAACGAGACCUCGGCACUCCGAAUAGCGCGGCGGACGUCGCGGCCUCCGGGCCGUCUUCCGCACGAGCUUCUUAGAGGGACCGUCCCCCGCCGGGGAAGGAGGUGCGAGGCAACGACAGGUCUGUGAUGCCCUUAGAUGUUCUGGGCCGCACGCGCAUUACACUGACGCGUCCAACGGGUGACUCCCGACCCGAAGGGGCCGGGGAAUCCGCAAGGCGCGUCGUGAUGGGGAUUGAACGUUGCAAUUGUUGUUCACGAACGAGGAAUUCCUAGUAGGCGCGGGUCAUCAACCCGCGCCGAUUACGUCCCUGCC
rnacentral:rRNA from 1 species